rnacentral:tRNA from 1 species
GGGCCUGUAGCCUAGUUUGGAUACUGCAAAUUCGAAGAAUUUGCCGGAUUUGCCGUAGGGCAAAUAAGGCGACAGCCUUCUAAGCUGUAGAUCCGGGGUUCAAACACUGUUAAUUCCCUAAGGGAAUUAUGGCUUGAAAGUCCUCGCAGGCCCA